rnacentral:rRNA from 1 species
UACGUAGGUGGCAAGCGUUGUCCGGAUUUACUGGGCGUAAAGGAUGCGUAGGUGGAUAUUUAAGUGGGAUGUGAAAUACCCGGGCUCAACUUGGGUGCUGCAUUCCAAACUGGGUAUCUAGAGUGCAGGAGAGGAAAGUGGAAUUCCUAGUGUAGCAGUGAAAUGCGUAGAUAUUAGGAGGAACACCAGUGGCGAAGGCGACUUUCUGGACUGUAACUGACACUGAGGCAUGAAAGCGUGGGGAGCAAACAGG